CUUGUGCUUCUUUCUGAGUUUCCAUUCCGAGUUUCUGUUUCCAUGGCUACACCUUUCUAUGACAUAGCUUGUCAGUGAGUGGGAGUGGUUGGUGUCAAUUUGUGUAUUGUAUAUAGUUUGUAAUGAAGGCAGUUGUCCACCAGACUGAGGACACAGCUGGUAGGUUAUAACAUAGCAUAGCACAAACAAGGAGAAGUAAGAUGCAGGGCCAAGAAGAACAAAGACCAAAGUGGAGAAGUGUAGAUGUGCAGAAAUGACACUGUGUAGGAACUUUGUAAGGAAGGAAGGGAUGAUCUUAACACCAAGCCUACUGUCCAGCCUAGGAGAAAAUGUUCUGAGAGACAGAGCUGCUGGGUGCUAGGGCAGGUGUUUGAAGGAUUCUUUGCUGUACUGUGGGUACCUGUCUCAGGGGCCUAAAUGACAAGUGACACUCCUUUGGGACCUUCACCAGACCCUUCAUAUCAUUACCAGUAAGGUGCGUCUACAGGAACCCAGGACACUUGUACAUUCCUACAACAUCAGUAUCUUCAAGAAAUCUCUAUUCUGACAAAAUUCUGCACGUGGCCUUAACAAUUUGAUAAAAGUUAUUGCUGAGUCCUUGCCAGUGUCUGACAGCAUUGUCCCAGGCUUGUAAGAUCAUUUGUCAUGCAAAUCGUAGGAGUAUGAGAAUUCCAGGGAAUGGCAUGCCGAGUAUUGAGGAACACAAAUUCAUUGCAUCAGGAAAUCCACACUUAGAAGCCCCAGUGGAGCUCGCUUGUCAUCUCAGUGCUGGGAAGCAGAGGCAGGUAGAUUCCUGGCACUGCCUUGUCAGCAAGGUCCAUGCCCCAGUGAGACUCUAAAAAGGCAGAUGGUACCUGAGGAACUACAUCAAAUGUUGGCUUAUGGCUUCUACAGGUUAUCACCUCUGUGAACCUUGAAUCAGGCUGUUUCUUUGGUCUGAGCUAAUCAUGAAGGAGCGAACCAGUUGCUGGCCUCUAAGGGGUCAUGUGUUAUUCUUGUUUGUCAACUUGAGAAUAUCUGGAAUUAACUAACAUUCAAACAGCUGGAAAAACCUGUGAAGGAUUCUUGAUGGACUUUGCAUGAGGUGAUGUAAAAGUCAAGGGACCCACUACUUGGAAUCUAUAUGCUUCAUUAUUUAGUCCCAAGAAGAACCCACUUACAAGUCAUUGUUAGAAGUAACCAGUGUGCAUAUAGAACCAGUCAUUGAAGAAUGAACUUGCUUAUCAUGGACAUCAAGAGCCAAUGGAAGAGAACAUUUUUUCCUAGGGAGAGGAGUAUACAGAGUUAAAAGCAUAAUGGGAACUCGAGUUUUUCACACAAAUCCAGAACCAGGAGGCUUCGAUUCUUGGUGGAACAACUCCAGGAAAGAAACUUUGGGAAGCUCUAAGGGGCCAUGACGGAACUUCUCUGGAUCCCAAGUGUCUGGAAGACUUGGACUGUUACUGAAAGAGCAUGACUUAUGUCCUGGAAUUGAUGAUGCCUUCCUGUAGGAGGAAUAUAAGAGGCACUAAGGUUAUAGAACAGAUGCCGAAAUGGCCACGUUUUCAGUGCUUCCUAGACUCCGACAUUUGCCAUCGUAUGUCUAGUAGAUCUCAUCAUAAAAAUGCCAACAAUUUGAGAUAUCUAGCCAGUAUUUUCUCUCUAAAACAUACCGGUCUCUAAAAUAUUUGCAAUGAGCAUUUCUUAUAUAAAUCCAAGGACACUGAAUUGAAAAAUAAUAAAAAUAAACUUCAUCUAAAGAGUUCAAGCAGUUCAAAGACAGCUCGAGGAUGGAGCUUAGUGAAGGAGAAAGAACUUGAAGAAAAUAAACACCUGAAUGAUGCCCAAGAAAACACAAAUGGAAAUGUGACAAAAAUGAGGAAUUGAAUGCAGGACUUGGAUAUGGACUUCAACAAAAAAGAUAGAAACAAGAUAGAAACAUUGAAGAGGAAUUGAGCCAAAAUGAAGAGAGAAUUGAAAAAUCCAAUAUGUUAAACUCCAAGAAAGUCUUAAAAGUACAAUGAAUCAAGGAGAAGGUCCUUUUCCAGGACUGGCCAAUAUCUCAGCUGACUACAACUGAAGGGCAGAGGGACUAUCCUGCCAAAUGUUCCAAAGGCAGCUAUAUAGAGCUACUUUCCAGAUAGUGGGACUGGACCCCACAGUGGUUCAAAAUCUCAAACGAAAUGCUGCAUGGGGAAGAGUUAUAUUAUCUGACUAGACUGGUGUGCUGGCCAAUGUGAGCCACUGCAGGAGCCCAGCUAUGUGCUUGAGUCAGGAAGACUUUUGCCCUGUCUUUCAUGUCCUAUAACAUAGCUCCCCAGCCACUAGUGAUGCAGUCUGAUGAAAUCCAGGGUGUAUUGUGUGGUCUCUGUCCCAUGGAAGUAAUCUCAGGCAAAGACUCCUUGAAAACCUCAACUACAGCUGUGGAUUUCAUGUUCAAUCAACUCUCUGACUAGCAGAGGAAAGAAGCACAGUAAAGACGUUCUGUCGGGAGUUAUCAAUAUAAACGAAUGACAGGUAAUGAUGCCAAUACCCAACUUGGUUUAGCUCGUCUCCUGAAGCGGCAAGAGGCAGUCAAGUAUGAAGGUGACCCCAGAGAAACAAACCCUCUUCAUUCUGGCCAAGACCCCAGGUCACUUCCAACCAACGAGCACAAAAUUUCUUUGAAAUGAGGCACGUCAAAUGCUGAACUUACAUGUGGACAUACCAUCUGCUCAAUUCCAGGUGAGAUUACAAAGCUCCAGUAAAGAGAAGUUGCCUAAAGCCACCUAAGUAAUUAAAAGGAAGCAAAACCUUGAAAAUGGAGGAGUAUAGCAGCUAUUAUUUGGACCUUUUGUUUGUUUCUUUCCUCUGACUGCUCCAUAGGAUGUAGAUAUUGUAGGCAUGAACAUCUGAUAUUGAGGAGGGCCAAGCAUUCAAGUGUCCGAAAUUAGUAGGACUUUACAAGGUAGAAGCUGAAGAGAAAGAAUUCCAAGGACAAAGGAGGGAAUGGAGAGAUACACAGAGAAGAUAACAGAUUCCAUGACAGUGGGUCCUCUGACUACUACAAGGAGCUAUGAGCUUGUUGCAAUCUCACAACUUACUGACUUCUCUUCAGCCAGACUUUGUUUACAUCACGAUUGAGUCUGCUUUUAAUCAAGCCAGCAAUAUGUCAAUGCCCAAUCCAAUGGAAAUUGGUGGUUUUCAUCUUGACCCAUAGGAUUGGGAAUGUUGUUUAAACAAAGGAAAUGGAUAAAAUGACAGAGCAGUGGUGGCCUCCUCAGCGUAACACACUUUGUAUUGUUUGACUUCUUUUGAUCCAUCUAACGCUCAUACAUCUCAACUGUACUGUUGUGUGGGUAUUUCACUCAUUUUCACUCACAGGGUGAAAAACAAAAAUGCUGAUUAGAAGAAAAGUAUGUUCAUGACCUUGAAGUGGGCAGAUAGUUGUUAAACACGGAUGAAAUGCAAUGCCAUGCUAAGAAGUAUAUGUGGGCUUCUGCAGAUGGAUUUGAAGAAUACAAUUUCAUAAGGAUGAAGUCUCGAGGAUCAUUAAAGGGAUGCUACUGCUAUGCCUCUCUCCAUGAGCCUGCAGCUGGAUGUUUCAGCUAAGCUCUCUGCCUGUCAAUCCCCUGAGAUCUACUCCCUGCCUCACCCCCAUGCUCAUGUUACAGGAACGGGUGGAAGGAUAUCUAGCUGAAUUGAAAUUGACAAAACUGGGUAACUCAGACAGGGCAGCCUCCGGAGAGGCCUUUAACCACAAAAGAGGAUGCUAAUACUAUAGGCUGCAUGGCUUGCACUGCCUUGAGCACUCAGGAACCUCUGCAUUGUAGAUGUAUACAUUUCCUGAACUUCUAGGUUUUAGAACUUUCAUUUCAAGUGUCCAUUUCAAUUAGUCAUUACUCACCUCUCUGAAGGCUUGUUCAAUCAUUCAUUAGUUUGUUCUGCUGUAAUUUAUCCAUAGUAACUUUUGGGAAAUCUGACCAGAGGAUCCUUGCCACUUUUCUUCUCAAGAGGCACCAGCCUCUGGGGUGAUAAUCAAAGAUGAGUGAAAGACCGUGUUACCCAAGUGUCAGAAGAAACACAAAUCUGUAAAAUAUAACUAGCAAGACCAUGCAGAGAGGAAAUGAUACUGUGAAUAUUUACAGCAGACGACUUCACUUCUGAAUUGGAGACAGAGGUGACAAAAGGGGAGAUAGAGUGGAAUAUUAUGUAGACAGAGCUCAGACCUAGCAGUUGGAAAACUGACCUCCAUCCCUUGGAGCUGACUAAGAAGAUGAACCCAGGAAUUGGGGAGUAUUGUCCCUUAUUACCAUGAAACCCAGGAUCAAGCCAAAGAAUCUCAAAUGUAAAGACCCUACAAUUUCUUUCGGGUUUUUCAAUAUAAAAUUUCAAGAGGACAAUGGUUGCCGGUGGCAGAGGAAAAUGGAAACGUGGCACUGCACCCAGAAGAGAAUGGAUCCAUGAGCAGAAGUAUUGGGGGGGGGGGAAGUCUGCUUAGAAGAACUGUGUCUAGUUCAAGGUUAGAGAUAGAGCUAUUCUUUGUCAUGUCUCUAUUGGGACUGAGAUACCUGUUUGUGAAGAUAGUUGGUGAAAUCCUGGAAUCCCAAAUAUGUCAAAAGGAUUUGUUCAAAUCAAUGAUUCCUGAAGACUUUAACUUUUCCAAAAGGAAAUACGUAGUCCACUGGUUCAUUACUUACAUUUGAAUGCUGGAACACUUGUCUCCACACAGUGCAUGUCCCACAAAAGACUUUGUAUGCACCUUCUCAAAAAAAAAAUGUACUGAAAGAAAAGACUCAUUAGAUGUGGCUACACUGAAAAGCAGGAUAAAUAGAAGUUUCUAGAUAUGUUUUUGCAACACCUGCAUGUGCUUUAGAGUGAACAGGAAAGAAUAGGGAAAGAAUAGGUAAGAAGAGUAUGAUAUCCUGGUCAAAUGUAGUCUGACCAAUUUCUGUACUAGUUGCUUUCCCAAGAUUAUUUGAAAAUUGACAAAAUUGAUAAAGUACUUGCCAUG
rnacentral:lncRNA from 1 species